rnacentral:lncRNA from 1 species
AAACAAAGUUAUCCCCUGCUGGAUAUUAGAAAGAGUGCUGGUUUAAUGCACUUCAUUUUUCAGCAAGAGAGAGAGAGAGAGAGAGAGAGAAAGAGGGAGAGAGCAUAUAUAUAUAGCUGUGUUACUUUGAAUUUACUUGUUGGCAAAGUGAUGCAGUCUUUUAUCCUUUGAUUGAGACAUAGAUCUGUUGCCCAGGGGGUGCUGUUCUUUUUUAUGUUGCUUUCCAGGGCCUUCUGAGAGAUAUUCCGUUCGACCCAAUCAUCUUCAAAGAGGUGAUAGUGAACCAGGGCUCGGCCUACAACAAUGACACAGGUUUGUUCACCGCACCGGUCGCUGGCAUCUACCAGUUUGUGUUUGCUGCCCAGCUCUGCCGCGGAGACCAGAACAACGUAUGGAACUUCAUGGUCAACGGGGUCCAGAAGAUGGCCUGCCAUGCUCAGGUGUCUGGUCAGGAAACAACCCUCAACACCUGCUACUGCAUGAAGAAACUGAAAGAAGGUGACCAGGUGUGGAUAAAGCAGCAUGCGGGGAGCUGUGCCUGGGCAAGCACUAUCUCCAAAACCAUCACCUUCUCCGGCGUCCUGUUGGCAAGUGAGGGUGUGUCCACCCUGGGACGGAAGUAUGGCUCCGGCAGCUCCUGUCCACUGCCCAGCCUGGGCCUCCACAGGGACAUGGUGUCCAGCUCUGUAGGCCAGAGGGUCUCUUUGUCAAGUGUGGCCAUCACUCUGCUGCUCUGCUGUCUCCUCUGGGAUUAAUCAUGAUGAAGUUAAUGACACAUAUAUUAUAUACGUUUUUACUUUAUUCUAUUUUAUAUUGUAAAGGGUUCUAGCUUGAUUUGCUGGGACCUGAUGUUUUUCUUCCAUAGUUGUGUAUUCCAAAUGUUCCCAACAAUGAUUUUAUUCAAGGGUAAGGUGCGUUUCAAUCCUUUUUUUGCACACCAAUAGAGACAUAUUUUAUUGAUAUGAUAUUCAAUAUGCUACUAUGAAAAUGCCAAUGUGUACAAUAACGUCAUAACUUUUCAACAUUGCCUAACAGGCUUAUAAAGUUAUUGUUAGUAUGAUUGUUUGCCCACAAAUAACAGAGCUGGUCUACCCAACGAUUGAUCUGCCACAUAACAUUAGCUACAGCAGCUGUAUGGGUAUGCUACAUAAACAUACUUUGGGCUAUUUCAAUAUAAUGCAGCAGUUGUUUAACAAUGAAGACAACAUCUCCCAUGAUCCCUCUCUACUUCACGACAUCAUGAAAGUCUGUCUUUUGUUACUGAGAGACCCCCAGUGGCAGAACUUACAUAGCCUACUAUGCGUUUAGGUUAAAGUAGCAAUUAGUAAGUCUUGCAUGCAAAACUUCUCUUAAUUAAAAGUACAAAUUAUUAGCAUCAAAAUACACCAAAAGCAAAUACUAUGCAGUGUGGCCCAUUUCUGAAUAAUGUGUUGUUUUAUAUUGUUGUAUGGAUGCGUUAAUGUGUUCAUUACUUUAGUUUUGCAACUGGUAAAGGUGGAGAUAAUUGCAAUUACUUUAUACAGUAUAUUGCUGAAUAGCUAGUGAGUUUCCCCUGGUGUAUUCCUUCUCAUCUUAACCUAUAAUAGUAAAUAAUUGUUGGUUGAUUAUAUUUUGUAUAACUCCGCAAAGUAACUAGUAACUACAGUUAUUACAGUAAAUUCAUGUAGUGGAAUAAAAAGUAUAAUUGCCACUGAAAUGUAGUGGAUUAGUAUAAAAUCUUGGUUUUCUAUUUCCUGUUUUAUUUUUGAAAUGUUAACUUCCCCUUGUGUCAUGUCUUGUUUUACUUCCUGUCUUUUUGUUUUUCCCUCCCUUUGUGAUUGUUAAUUUGAUCCUCCUGUGUCCAUUCACACGGCCCUUAUUUCUUUGCCUUUUUCUUCCAGCUGUGUCUCGUUCCCUUGAUUGGUGUCUGUGUGUAUAUGUUCCUGUCUGUCCCAAUUCUUCCUUGGCUGUUCGUCAUCGAUGUUACCUGGUGUGUUUUGUCCUACGGCUCCUCGUGCUCCCUCAUGCUACCUUGUGUCUUUCCUGGUUUGUUCUUUCAGUUUUACUUUUUACUUUGUUUUGUAUUUUUAAUAUUUUAUUAAUAAAGCUCUCUUUUUGUUAACCUUCACGUCUGGCAUUC